CUCUCUUGAUCUCCUUCUACUGAAGUUCACAGCACGACAUCAGCUCCAUGAUGUGACACUGCAGAACAAUUGCCAAGUCCACAGUGUCCCACAAGUCCCAAUGUGGGAGCUGUGGCUCUACCAGAAAGCACCCAAGAUGCCCCCUCCUGGGAUCACAACACCAGCAAAGAACCAAGGUCUUCCUUGGGGUUGCCUGACUGGAGAGAGGAACCUAGAGUAAACUAAUCCAGCAGAAGUUUUAAUCUGUCCCAAGAGAGAUAUCCCCAGCUGUGUAUUUCUACUUCUGCCUCUGUCAAACUCUUCUUUGGCUUCACUGCAAAUUCGGUUAACAUGAAUGUCUCAGAAGAGUUGUCCCCAAACAGUCAGCCAUGUGCUUACGUGCAUGAAGUGAGCAUGGAUUGGACUGAGGCACAGUUUUUAGAAAACCUAAAGGAACAACUAGGGAAGUACUUUCCAAAGUAAGAACGCCAGUUGGGAUUUCUUCAGCUUGACACAUAUAAAUCACCUGGAAAGAAGGAACCUCACUGAGGAACUGAUUCCACAACAUAGUCAUGUGAGUAUUUUUGUAGGUUAUUUCCUAGAUUAAUUAUUCAUAUGGGAGGGUCCCGCCUACCGUGGGCUGUGUCUACAUAGAGCAGGUGUUCCUGGGUUAUCUGAGUAAGCGAGCUGAGCAGCCCAUGGAAGCAAGGUAGUAGGUAGGAGCAUCCAUGGUUGCUGCCUGUGUUCCUGCAGUGACUUUCCUCAGAGAUGAGCUGUGAUCUGGACAUGUAUGAACCCUUCUCUCCUCUUGUUGUUAGAACAACAUAGGAAAGUGUCUCAGUGGGAGGGGCCUGUGUAACCUGUGGAAGAGCCUAGGGUUGUUCCCUAGGACUGAAAACAAACAAAACAAAUGAAAAAAUAAGUAUAUACAAACACAUACACUCACGGGGGUGUGUACUACAUAAACUUAGAAACCUGGAAAUCUCUGUUUUCGAGGAUGUAAAUGUCAUGUCUUUACAUUUUGGGUCAUUCUGUGGUCACAGGAUGUUACAUUGGAGAAACUAUCAGAAUGCAUUUAGAUCUGGGAUAACCCUUCCACCGGAGUUGGGAUGGAGUUGGCGCUGACUCCAUUGCCACAGUGGGCCCUUUGGCUGAUUUCCCAAAAGUGAUGGUGAGCCUCCUGUGAGCAGGUACUCAGAUCCUGUUGGAUGCAUGUGUGGCAGUCAGUGUGGCAGUCUUCAUCUGCAGCAGCUUAGUAGCUGGACCAAACUACAAGGAACCUGUCCUGAAUGGCUGUGAGGAAGACCAUCUGGAAAGUUCAUGGCCUGAUCCUUACCCAUACAGCAAAGAAAUGGCUGAGAAGGUGGGGCUAGAAGCCAGUGAGUGCACACUGAGAAAUGAUGGCAUAUCGCACACUUUUGCCUUCUGGCUCAUGUACAUUUAAGGAGAAAGAAAUUCCAUUAUUUUAAAUAAUGAUUAUUUA
rnacentral:lncRNA from 1 species